UUGUGGACACCCACUCAUCAUCUUUAAUAUACUUGUUAUUUAAUACAAUGUUGCAUACCUCCAUUUGGACGAGGUACUACAAAUGCCUUCUUUGCUCAAAGGAUUUCCAUAAUUGAUGACAAUAACAACCUAUUCAGAAAUCAAAUGUAGAAAUUAUUGUAACAGUUGUUCAUAUGAAUGAGUUUGAAUAUAUGCAUGUUUUGACUUGUGACAACAUUCAAUGUUUCAAACAGACUGGUUUUAUAGGUUUUUAUUAAGUGUGUUUGAAGAUUUGUUGUCUCUGUUUUAGAAACCACUGGUAAGAACAAGACUUUACUCUGUGUCGUUGAAAGACAUUUAACAACUUGCGCUGGUGGAUGGGGGUAUAAACAGUAAUAGGCCAAAGUAUCGAACAGAGUGUAUAGUACUUGAUAUUGCCUUGAAACAUUUGGUUAAAUCAAAAACAGUUCCGUGCAUGUAUUAACAACUUUGAGCUGAAGACAGUUCUCCAGUUCUCUUUUGUACUACCUUCCAAAGCCCUAGCAUUCCGUACAACGAGAAAUGUACAUCUCAUCAAAUGUAUCUCACCAGCAAAAUUUAAUUUGUUGAUAAUCAGAACAGAAAAGUGUAAAGAGAAGCUUGAAAGCCAAACAAAAGUGUUACUUAACGUCACAUAAUAUGUUAAGUCAUGAAUAAAAGGAAAAAUGAGCAUUUUCAAAGAACAGAAACAACAUUAUUCGCCAGCGACUACUAGGACUGUAACUGGGUAAAUCUGAUAACUGUCAGGAAUGAGAUAGUCAGAUCAAAACGUACGUGUCUCAGUAAUGUUAUACCCAUGUCACAACUAGAUGAUCAAUAGUGUAAGCCAAUAUCUGGUGUAGCCUCCUCAUCCACGGAUCACAUCCACAAGAUGCCUCCUCAUGCUCAAAAUCAGAAGCCUGAUCCCCAACUGAGGUAUGUGUUGCCAUUCCUGAUGCAAUGUAGGGCAUCGUUGUCCACAGAGAUAGGACGAGUUGCAAGUACAUGGUUAUCAAAAUAAGGCAUAAUAAAACCGUUCAAUAUGGUAUCUUGGUACCUUUCUCCAUUUAGAACCCCCUAAACUGUCACAAAAUCAAAUUUACAGUCAAAGAAGCAGCAUCCCCAUACCAUCCCUGAUCCGCCACCUGAGGCCACUGUUUCCUGGAUGUUUUGCUGAUGAUAAGAUGUUCCUCUUUGCCUCCAUACAAGUCCUACCACCAGCGUAGACCUUCUCUCGGAAGACCAAUGAAUCCCCCUCAAUGACCUCAAGAUCCAGUGUGCUCGAGUCUGACACCAGGCUACAGAGCCCAGCAUAUAAUGGGCUGUGCAUACGGUUCGCAUAAACGCACCCACAAGGUGGGGCAGUUAAGGUGUUUACCAUUCUACAAGCAGAUGAUGUGACAACACACAGAAACAUGUUCGUGGCGCAGUGACAGUACACGGUGCUACCCGGGAGAAUGUGCAGAGGAAUAUGCAAGGAAUUGUAUCUGUACAACAGAGUUUAGCGGCACUCACUGCGAGAAAA